rnacentral:lncRNA from 1 species
AUUUUUAGUAGAGACGCGGUUUUACCAUUUUGGCCAAGCUGGUCUCGAACUCCUGACAUGAGGUGAUCCUCCCACCUCGGCCUCCCAAAGUGCUGGGAUUACAGGUAUGGGCCACCACGCCAAGCCGUAAAAAUUAUUUCAACUGAUUAACACGCCACUUCUUAGUCUGUGAAAUGGGGAUUCCAAUUCCUAACUUCCACAUUGGUUGAAGAGAUGAAUAGGGCAAUGACUAUAAAGCCCUGUCCCUGGGACAGGACAAUGGCUCAGCACAUGCUGACUGAAUAAUUUUUUACAAGACCUGGUCUGCACCACGAAUGCAGCAGCCUGAAUAAAGCACUGAGAGAAGAAAUGUAGGGACAAUGAUGGAAGUGUCCUGAAUGAGGGCAUCAGAUCUGGGGAACGUUCCCCAUGAGAACCGGCUGAGAGGUUCUGAGCCUCAGAUGGGACAGUGUAGGGCACAAGAUGUCAGACAUUAGCAAAGGAAACCCACCAUGGUUUAGGGCAGAGAAGGCACUGCAGGAAGGCAAUACAUAAGAAGUCCCCACCUGGGGUUGGGCUGUCCUCCCUUACCCUGCAGACAGUCCUCUCACGGGUAACGUGGGAGUGGAGGAAGAGGAGCUGGGGACUAAAAUGGCUCUAAAAUGAGCUCUGCGAUCCUCAAAGGUGGCCUUGGAAAUUCCCAGUCCCAGGGUAGAGCCUCUUCUUGUUAAAAAAAAAGGACCCAAAGUCUUCCAGAGAAGAAAACUUUACGCAGGUUCCUGGGAACAGAUCCUGAGUGUGGGCAUCGCAACAGACCCUGUCCUGACAUGAUGCUAACACUAAACACAGCAUAUCCUGUCGGUGCUUCCAGAAUAAGGAAGUGUUGAUAUUCAUUAUAAUAUUUAACACUUUUUUAGAAUUUAAUAUAUGCCAGGGACGGUUCCAGGCGUGGCACAAAUUUUUCUGCAUUCAAUCUUCACAACUGUCCUAUGAAGUGACUAUUACCCACCAAUUUCAGAUGAGGAAACAGGCACAAAACAUUUAAAUGCCUUUCUCAAAGCAACACAGCCAAGAAAGUGAUAGAGCUUGGGUUUCAACUCUCACUGUAAAGGACUAUGUCUUAACCAGUAGGCAUGGCUAUGACAUUCCUCAAUGAAUCUGCACAGAUUAGGAGGGGAUCUGGGUCAAGCUAGAUUAGCUUGCAAGGUCAUGAGGUAUAUCUUGACUGAUGGGUCUCUCUACUUGGGGGUUCUGCUGACAAUUUUUCCAUAAUGAAAUGAUUAAAAUCAGUUAUUUGGAUGGUCAGUCCACAGCCCCAGAGACAUUUAAAAAAACUGCUGGGCCCAAUGGUUGCUGUUACUCCCACUCCAAUAACCGAGGAAGCCCUACCAACCUGGUGAGGACUAAAUUCACCUUUUUUCCCUUGCCCAAAUGCCUAUGUAUGAGGCUUGGGGAAUCCUGCCCGAGAAACCAUAAAAUCUCAUCAGAUGAGUUUUAUUACUCUUAUAUAAUGAGGCUCACUUUCCAACCUGACUCUGGUACAGCAUCACAUGACAGCAGAUGCUGAAGGAAAUUAUUUUACCCCAAAAUAUACUUCUUUGACAUGUUUUGAAGUGGCUGCCACAGGGGCAACAGAUUGAAAUGGAUAGCCCCGCAAAGCUAUCUUUAGUGGGAAAAUUUGCAUCUGCAGCGAAUCUCCAUUAAUGUAGCCAGACCUCCUUUGUUCUAAGCCUUUCUUAGGUCUGGAAGAGACAGCCAGCCUGACGCGCGGUGGCUCACGCCUGUAAUCCCAGCACUUUGGGAGGUAGAGGUGGGUGGAUCACCUGAGGUCAGGAAGUCAAGACCAGCCUCAGCAACAUGGUGAAACCCCAUCUCUACUAAAAAUACAAAAAUUAGCCAGGCGUGGUGGCGGGCGCCUGUAGUCCCAGCUACUCAGGAGGCUGAGGCAGGAGAACUGCUCAAACCUGGGAGGUGGAGGUUGCAGUGAGCUGAGAUCACGCCACUGCACUCUAGCCUGGGCGACAGAGCAAGACUCUCUCUAAAAACAAAAACAAAAACACAAAAACCCAAAAAACUGAAAACAGACAUUUACCAUCUAUUCUGAGAGUUGCCAACUAAGAGGCUUCAUCUACAUAAUAAGAACUUUGAUCUACGCAAUCCCCUUAACUCUGGCAUGCUUCUGAUUCCAGUCUUCAGGCAGUAGCUUAAGUCUCUCAACCAACUGUCCACUAAAGAAUCCCUAAGUGCCCCCAUGAGGUGUAAACCCUUUGGAGAUAUACCAGCUUUUUGGGAGGAACCCGUGUAUAUCUUUCUCUUAUUGAUUUAUGAUUUUCUUUUUGGAGGCAGGAUCUCGCUGUGUUACCCAGGCUAGCGUGCAGUGCAGCCAACAUAGCUGGUUACAGCCUCCACCUCCUGGACUCAACUGACUGGGCCUCCCAAGUAGCUGAGGCCACAGGCAUGGGACACCACGCCCCGCUAAUUUUUUUAUUUUUCUAAUUUCAUGUAGAGACAGGGUCUUGCUGUGCUGCCCAGGCUGCUCUGGAACUCCUGGCCUCCCAAAGUGCUGGGACUACAGGCAUGAGCCACACUGCUCAGCCUGAUUUAUGACUUUACCUGAAAUUCCUGUCUCCCUGAAUUGUAUAAAAUUAACCUGCAAGCCUGACCAUCUCGGGCACUUUCACAGGACCUCUUGAGGCUGAAUAACCUGGGCCACAGUCACUCAUACUGACUAGGAAUAAACCUUUUUAAAUAUAUUUUGGCAGAACCCGGAUUUUGCCGUCAUUAGCAAGGCCCCAGGGAAGAGGCCACCUGGGUCCCCACAGCCACCUCACCUCCCGCGGACGCUGCCCCACGCAGAUCCCCCCCCCCCCCCACCAAAACACGUCUAGACGUGCCCGUGCGAGGACAUUUGGUCCCGGCCUACACUCCUAUCCGCGGAAGAUCGUCCCAAGGCGGGGUGCUCCCAACCCAAAGCAGCGGCCCUUCCCCAAAACACGCGGGCGAAGUCCUCCCCUGUCCCGCCUCCCACAAUAAAGUCUGGAGCAUCAGAGUCGGAGGGAACCCGAGUCGGACCUAGC